UACGGAGGGUGCGAGCGUUAAUCGGAAUUACUGGGCGUAAAGCGCACGUAGGUGGUCAGGCAAGUCGGGUGUGAAAGCCCUGGGCUCAACCUGGGAAUUGCAUUCGAAACUAUCUGACUCGAGUAUGGGAGAGGGAAGCGGAAUUUCCGGUGUAGCGGUGAAAUGCGUAGAUAUCGGAAGGAACACCAGUGGCGAAGGCGACGUCCUGGACCGGCAUUGACGCUGAGGCGCGAAAGCGUGGGGAGCGAACCGG
rnacentral:rRNA from 1 species